rnacentral:rRNA from 1 species
UGCAGUCGACGAUGAGCCCAGCUUGCUGGGUGGAUUAGUGGCGAACGGGUGAGUAACACGUGAGUAACCUGCCCUUAACUCUGGGAUAAGCCUGGGAAACUGGGUCUAAUACCGGAUAGGAGCGUCCACCGCAUGGUGGGUGUUGGAAAGAUUUAUCGGUUUUGGAUGGACUCGCGGCCUAUCAGCUUGUUGGUGAGGUAAUGGCUCACCAAGGCGACGACGGGUAGCCGGCCUGAGAGGGUGACCGGCCACACUGGGACUGAGACACGGCCCAGACUCCUACGGGAGGCAGCAGUGGGGAAUAUUGCACAAUGGGCGCAAGCCUGAUGCAGCGACGCCGCGUGAGGGAUGACGGCCUUCGGGUUGUAAACCUCUUUCAGUAGGGAAGAAGCGAAAGUGACGGUACCUGCAGAAGAAGCACCGGCUAACUACGUGCCAGCAGCCGCGGUAAUACGUAGGGUGCGAGCGUUAUCCGGAAUUAUUGGGCGUAAAGAGCUCGUAGGCGGUUUGUCGCGUCUGUCGUGAAAGUCCGGGGCUUAACCCCGGAUCUGCGGUGGGUACGGGCAGACUAGAGUGCAGUAGGGGAGACUGGAAUUCCUGGUGUAGCGGUGGAAUGCGCAGAUAUCAGGAGGAACACCGAUGGCGAAGGCAGGUCUCUGGGCUGUAACUGACGCUGAGGAGCGAAAGCAUGGGGAGCGAACAGGAUUAGAUACCCUGGUAGUCCAUGCCGUAAACGUUGGGCACUAGGUGUGGGGACCAUUCCACGGUUUCCGCGCCGCAGCUAACGCAUUAAGUGCCCCGCCUGGGGAGUACGGCCGCAAGGCUAAAACUCAAAGGAAUUGACGGGGGCCCGCACAAGCGGCGGAGCAUGCGGAUUAAUUCGAUGCAACGCGAAGAACCUUACCAAGGCUUGACAUGUUCUCGAUCGCCGUAGAGAUACGGUUUCCCCUUUUGGGGGGGGUUCACAGGGUGUUGCAUGGUUUGUCCUUCAUCUCCUGGCC